rnacentral:rRNA from 1 species
CAAUAGCGUAUAUUAAAGUUGUUGCAGUUUAAAAGCUCGUAGUUGGAUCUCGGGUCCAGGCUCGCGGUUCGUUUCGCGACGAUACUGCCCGUCCUGACCUACCUCCCGGUUUUCUCCCGGUGCUCUUCGCUGAGUGCCUCGAGUGGCCGGAACGUUUACUUUGAAAAAAUUAGAGUGCUCAAAGCAGGCAGUCUGCCUGAAUAACCGCGCAUGGAAUAAUGGAAUAGGACCUCGGUUCUAUUUUGUUGGUUUUCGGAACUUGAGGUAAUGAUUAAGAGGGACAGACGGGGGCAUUCGUAUUACGGUGUUAGAGGUGAAAUUCUUGGAUCGCCGUAAGACGAACUACUGCGAAAGCAUUUGCCAAGAAUGUUUUCAUUAAUCAAGAACGAAAGUCAGAGGUUCGAAGACGAUCAGAUACCAU